GCCCUACUGCUUCUCCAGAAACUUCCGCUUCCGCUUCUUAAAAAGAACAGAACACAAAAACACACCUUCUGAAAGUAAACAAGUUCCGUUGCUCCCACUUCUCCCAGUUUUACUAUUAAUUAAAAUAAAAAUAAAAUGUUCAAGAAGGCGAUUGAGGCAAAAUCUCAUCAGAGACUCUCUGGAGCUGACCGGAAAAAGCUCAAACGAACUAUCAGAGACCGCUUUCAUCGGGCCUCCGAUGCUGAUAUAGAUGCUUUGCUCCCUCCCAAAGCGGAAAUUACUGUUUCAAAGUUUGUAAAUAGGGUUCAUUUAUAUGGUGUUGAAGGUAGCUUUCCUAUGUUUUUCGAUGUUGAUGGCCGAGGCUCUGAAAUUUUCCCCACAGUUUUUGCCCUCUGGAAGGUCCCUGAGAUGUUGCCUUCUUUCAUUCUGAAAGGGGGUGAGGUAUCUCGAUUUGUCAUUGGAGGAGCAGAUCUGAUGUUUCCUGGUAUUAGUAUACCUGCUGAAGGCCUUCCUUCUUUUCUAGAAGGUGAGCCAUGGGCUGUAAAAGUUCCUGGGAAUCCAGCACCUAUUGCCGUUGGGUCUACCACUAUGAGCACUGCUGAAGCCUUGAAGGCUGGUUUGCGCGGAAAGGCCUUACGGAUAACUCAUUAUUAUCGGGAUUUACUUUGGGAGUCAGUUGAGGGACAUUAUGUGCCAAAUGCAGGUUUCCUUGAAGAUGUUGUCUUUGAGGAUCCUGUUUUCUUAUCAUCUGCCCAGGUUCCUGAUUCACGUGAAGGUUCUGGUGAUUCUUCAAAUCAUGAGAAUGAUGGUGUUGACAGCAAAGAAGUUGGGGAAUCUGCUGAUGUAAAAGAUCCCAUAUCAGACAGUCAUCCCACUUCCAAGACACAACUUGAUUCUGAUACUGAUAUUGUAGAACAAGUAACAAAAGCUAUAGGUGGUCUUAAGGUUACGGAUAAUAUUGCUGCUGAUGAAUCCACCACAGUUGUUGAAGAACAGCAUACUUUGUCUGCUGAAGACUUAGAUGCUUAUUUGGACAAAUGUCUUUUGCAAGCCCUGCAUACAACUGUCAAUGACAAAGAUCUUCCAAUGCCAGGAAGCACUUUAUGGUCCAACCAUGUAUUACCUUGUAGACCUUCAGGUAUCACACUAGAUAUCAAAAAAUCAUCACACAAGAAAUUGUCCAAGUGGUUACAAGCUAAAUCAUCUUCAGGAUUGAUUUCGGUAAAAGAAGACAAAUAUAAAAAGGAAACUGUCCUAUUUUCUGUGAACCGCAGUCACCCAGACUACUUAUCCUUCAAACCAGAAAGAAGGCAGGAGCAGAAGGUUGAUCAGGGUGGUGAUCAGGCUGUUAAAGAAACCCGAUCACCAAAACUGCUUGAAGUGUCUGAGAUUUAUAAACCAAGUGUACAUGUCAAUCCCAUUUUUGCUUUUGUUGGAGCUGAUACUGGGAAGCUAUACAGUGCUUCAGAAGCCUCUGAUGUUGUAUUCAAGUACAUUGAGAAAGGACAUCUGGUAAAGCCAAUGAACAAGUCCAUUGUGGUUCUGGAUCCAACCUUAUGUGAUGCUUUGUUCAAGGGAGCUAUCAAGAAAGGAUCAGCAUACCCGACUGAGAUUCAUAAGAAAGAUUUAGGAUCUACAUUUGUAAGCCGGAUGCAGGCCCACUACAUUGUAACCAGAGGAAGCGAAUCAGUUGUUCGUAAAGGUUCAGUGAGAACAAUUCAGAUAUUGACUGAAAGACGUCAAGGUAACAAGAAGGUGACAAAACUCUCAGGCAUGGAAACAUUCUUGAUGGAUGCUGAUGCAUUAGCAUCAGAACUGCAGAAAAAGUUUGCUUGUAGUACAUCAGUGUCAGAGUUACCAGGUAAGAAAGGGCAUGAGGUUCUUAUUCAAGGUGGUGUAAUUGAUGACCUGGCAAGACAUCUGGUUGAACAGUAUGGGGUGCCCAAAAGAUACAUUGAAGUUCUUGAUAAAACUAAAAAAUAAGAUGUGAUUAUCGGUUAGUUUUCUCUACCCAAUUAAUCUUUUAAAUUUUAAUAUAUUGUUGUAGUUUUCCAUUAAGGUCUAUUUUCUCCAUAAAUUAAGCACAAUUCAUUCUUUUUUCCAUAGCACCAUUUAUUCUUUUGCUGGUUUUGCAAGAGUGGAAUUGCAAUGCAUGCUGUGUUUUUUUUUUUUUUUUUUUUGUUUCCUUCUAUGUUGUCAUGGAGGCCUAUGUAUGUACAAUUGCUAACUUGUUUCUUGUCUUGAUAUUUACUUGCAUUUAUUCUACCAAGUUUACCCUUGAGAGAAUAAAUCAAUUUAUAUUGAGAAGUCCUCGCCAGAUAGGCUUCUGAAAGAUAAUCAUUAGAUUAGCAGGCCCAAUCUAAGUGGGACCUUUUUGGGAAGCCUAUAAGGCAUAUACAAGUGUCACUGUCAUGAGGUUACAGGAGGCAAUGGAAUGGUGUGAUAACAACUUUCAACCUCACUCUCUAUGGUUUGUUGAAGUUAAUGGAUGCAAUCCAGAAACGGGUGCUGAAGAGAGGUUAGAAUAAUUCUUAAACUUGCCUCAAUACAAUGAAAAGAGUGUACAGAAGUUCUUGCGCUCCAGAGUAUAGGUAUAUGAAGUUUCUUUUCGUGGAGAUGAUUAGCUGUUUUAUCUUACUCGAAUUGAGUUGACUAUGGUCUGGUUUAGAGGACUGCUCAAAGCUGUGUUUUGGUAUCUGGUCAACUCUUUACCGCACCUCAUAGUUAUGCAACAUACAUUUCAACACUUCAUGUCACAAGUUGCGAAUUAAUAUGUUUAUUUGUAAGUUUUUAUGUUGACUAUGCGAGUCUUCAAUGUUACUAGGAAUGCAAGUGUGCAUUGUAAAGAU